GGGAGCAGAGGAGGAGGAAGGGGGCUUUGAUCGGCUCACCUCAGAAACCUUCCCGUACGCCUCCACUGCUACCUGGAUGAUAUCCUCAUCCUAUCUCCCUCCAGACGCCAGGCGGAGAGGGACACCAGAGCUACUCUC